UGGGGAAUAUUGGACAAUGGGCGAAAGCCUGAUCCAGCCAUGCCGCGUGUGUGAAGAAGGUCUUCGGAUUGUAAAGCACCUUAAGUUGGGAGGAAGGGCAGUAAGCGAAUACCUUGCUGUUUUGACGUUACCGACAGAAUAAGCACCGGCUAACUCUGUGCCAGCAGCCGCGGUAAUACAGAGGGUGCGAGCGUUAAUCGGAUUUACUGGGCGUAAAGCGUGCGUAGGCGGCUAAUUGAGUCGGAUGUGAAAUCCCCGAGCUUAACUUGGGAAUUGCAUUCGAUACUGGUUAGCUAGAGUGUGGGAGAGGAUGGUAGAAUUCCAGGUGUAGCGGUGAAAUGCGUAGAGAUCUGGAGGAAUACCGAUGGCGAAGGCAGCCAUCUGGCCUAACACUGACGCUGAGGUACGAAAGCAUGGGGAGCAAACAGG
rnacentral:rRNA from 1 species